rnacentral:rRNA from 1 species
GAUGAACGCUGGCGGCGUGCCUAAUACAUGCAAGUCGAGCGCAUGGAUGAGAGCUUGCUCUCAGAAGUUAGCGGCGGACGGGUGAGUAACACGUGGGUAACCUGCCCUUAAGACUGGGAUAACAUCGAGAAAUCGGUGCUAAUACCGGAUAAUUUAUUUGACCGCAUGGUCGAAUAAUGAAAGGUGGCGUAAGCUACCACUUAUGGAUGGACCCGCGGCGUAUUAGCUAGUUGGUGAGGUAAUGGCUCACCAAGGCAACGAUACGUAGCCGACCUGAGAGGGUGAUCGGCCACACUGGGACUGAGACACGGCCCAGACUCCUACGGGAGGCAGCAGUAGGUAAUCUUCCGCAAUGGACGAAAGCCUGACGGAGCAACGCCGCGUGAGUGAUGAAGGCUUUCGGGUCGUAAAACUCUGUUGUUAGGGAAGAACAAGUACCGUUCGAAUAGGGCGGUACCUUGACGGUACCUAACCAGAAAGCCACGGCUAACUACGUGCCAGCCGCCGCAGUAA